UUGGCGUGGCUGUUGCGUGGGGUGGUCUCAGUAGUCGGAGCAGGGUCGGCCAUAUCCAUACUGUGUCCAGCGCUGCAGGAAGCAGAGAAUGGCUGCGACCCCACGCUGAGAACAUGACCAGAUCCAACUGAUGGUAGCUGCAAGAACACUGAUUAGAAUUGGUUGACUGCAAGGAUCUGAGCUGUCAUAAUAGCGUUAAAGAAGUCUGCAAAAUCCAUCAGAUGUAAACAUCACACUUAAGUUCCAUUCCUCAAAGAAUGGCGUCCUUCUGGGGACUCGCAGUGCCAAAGUGAUGCUAUUAGGCAAGAGAUGGUGAAGGACAAGACAAAAGGCUGAGAUCCAGAGAAGACGGUACUAUUCCAGACCAAGAUGGGAUGCUACAGGCUCGACAGCCCCAUAGAGCCCUUUCCAUGCACAACUGUCAGUCCCAUAUUAGGGAGAGUUGACCACCUUACAGAAGUAAGAAAGCAAAGUAGAAGGAUUCACACUGCAUGGGUGGUGCUGAACACAGACAUUACCAUUAAUGAAAAUGGAACUGGUAUAUAGAAAUACAGAGAAGAGAGAAGGAGAGAAACAGAAAGACCCGCAUCUUCAACAGGAUCUCCUGCUGCGAUCCCCCUGCCCUCCCAGCCACUCUGGAUUAUAGCAUGUGGGUACAGCAUAUUCCAGUUAAAUGGAUAUCCAAGCUGUGUCCUUCCAUAUGGAUCCAGCAUCGCCGGAGCAGUGUGUCACCAGUGUGCCACCGAUUGAAUUCCAAAGGCAUCAAAAAAGGCAGUCAACUCAAUCAGAGAGAGAUGGCGAAUUUUCUUCAUGUCUUCAGCAG